GCACAACGCGAAGAACCUUACCAGGUCUUGACAUCCCUCUGACCGGUGCAGAGAUGCGCCUUUCCUUCGGGACAGAGGAGACAGGUGGUGCAUGGUUGUCGUCAGCUCGUGUCGUGAGAUGUUGGGUUAAGUCCCGCAACGAGCGCAACCCUUGAAUUUAGUUGCCAGCGAGUAAAGUCGGGCACUCUAGAUUGACUGCCGGUGACAAACCGGAGGAAGGCGGGGAUGACGUCAAAUCAUCAUGCCCCUUAUGACCUGGGCUACACACGUACUACAAUGGCCGGUACAACGGGCAGCGAAGGAGCGAUCCGGAGCGAAUCCUAGAAAAGCCGGUCUCAGUUCGGAUUGCAGGCUGCAACCCGCCUGCGUGAAGUCGGAAUCGCUGGUAAUCUCAGGUCAGCAUACUGAGGUGAAUACGUUCCCGGGUCUUGUACACACCG
rnacentral:rRNA from 1 species